AGCAGCCGCGGUAAUUCCAGCUCCAAUAGCGUAUAUUAAAGUUGUUGCAGUUAAAAAGCUCGUAGUUGAAUUUCGGGAUCAAUACGUCGGUCGUGCUUCGGUACGUACUGGCGUCAUUGAUUUCNCCCUUCUGACGAACCAUGAUGUCAGUUAACUGGUGUCAUGGGAAAUCAGGACUG
rnacentral:rRNA from 1 species